GCGACGAUGGCAAUGAAGAGCAGAAAGCAGUAUUCUGGGCCCAGCCUUGGAUCGAAAAGUCAUUAUCCAGCGAUCAGUCAAGCUUACUGGGCACCACAACCACAAAAUACACCUUAUUCUGUUCCAGCGUGUCCUGUUAGUCGUCAAACGAACGACGAGCGAUGCGUCAUAUAGGUAUGCCUACAUAUUAUUAUUGCAAACGCGCCGUAUCUUUAAACGAUGAGGUAUAACAAAGGCAACGUACCAAGGUCGUAAAACGAGCAGUGCAUGAAUUCACCAAUGCAGAUGAUUAUUAAAUCUUCUUAUUAAAACAUUCUGCGGAUGAUAUACGUUGCAGAUACGUGCGCGUAUAGAUAGAUGGCAGAUUGAGAUAGCAGAAGAUGGAUGAUAAAUAAGCAGAGAAUGAGAAAUUUACGAAGGAUAACGAAUGUAUCUAUAAAUAUACGUAUUAACAGAAAAGAUUUAGGACUUAAGAUAUUAUACACCAGAUUGAGUGGUAAAGUUAAUGUACUAUCAUUAGAAUUAUUAACUCCUUAUGACAGAUUGAAAACACAUGGAGUAUCUCAUGCAGCAUUGUUUCUACUAACGAAGUAUUCUACAUUCUACACGAUGUUGAUUCAAGGAAAAUGGCAAAUAAGUUAGCUACUUUUCGUACGAUAUAAAGCUUAUUUCGCAUAGGUAAAAGAGAAUCGCGAAUAUGGACAUAUUAUCAUGAGCAAACAUUGACUGACUACUAUCGUACGUAUCUAUGUAAAGACGAAGAGCAUCGAAUUACGACGCAACGUGAGAUGAUUUAUUACAGUUAAUCAGCUCUCAGAACUUUACUAACGUCGGAUGACUCAUCAUCAGGAAAUAUCAUUCUCAGCCAGGAGUAAUUAAACAACGCAUUGUCCGUAUACUGCCAUCGAUGUUUAGUCAAUUAUAUAGAAAGCAAGGAAGUACUUUACCCGAUUACUGCUGAUGUUUAUGCAAAUUCAUAUUUUUAUGAACACAAACAAAGAAAUAUCUGUAUUGUGAAUAGAGGCUUUUUUUACCUUCAACCAACUAUUUAUGCGAAGAUAAUAAAUUAUAAUGAAAAGGAAAUAACGGUGCAGUUUAUAUUAUAUCGACAUUGUUCAUAUCAUAUAAUUUAUACUACAGCGAUAUGAAGAAUUUCUUCAAUGAACCCUUUACUAUGAUGACACGAUUUAUUUGCGAAGGCGUUUGAAAUGCACUGGCAUACUUCUGCAAUAUUUCAAAUUUAUGGUACCUUAAGACGAUAUGAAGCAACAACUGGCACAAAUGGUUUCCAAAAUCGUGAAUGUAGAAAUUAUGAAAUCAUAAUUCAAAAAUUAUACAUUGAAGAUUCGUUAAAUCAUUCAAAAGGUUGAUAGCAUAAUAUACACAUUAAUUCAGGAAAUUAUUGAAAAAAUUAUUGAAAAAGAAUUAUUGAAAAAAAAACAACAGUCUUUAAAUAUAAGUUACGAAGAAACUGGAGAUACAGUAGUUGAAGGGGAUAAGCAAUAUCGAAAAACAGAAAGAAUAGACUAUGCAGAAACGCUGAACAAUAUUCGAUAAAGAAACGCACCGUUCGUAGGACACUCCUUCAGUCAGAAAAGACAAACAAUUGAUGACAAAAAGGAGAGUGGGCAUCGAGGAUAAAAUUGCAAAGAAUGCCAAGGGAAGAGUAUAUUGUAACGACUACACUUUCAAACAUCCUUGACUUCCUUAUAAGCUGGCACGCGGGAAGUUACAUAAUGAGCCUUUGAGUCUAAGCUGCUAAGCGGAUAGGCAAGUAAAAACGAUACGCAGAACAACAGAGAGAAUCAAGAGAGGAUAUGCAGAUUUAUCGGCACGAUUUUUAUGUCUAUUUCGAUUAUUACGUUUCUCGGUAGAAGUAAUAAAGAAUUAAUAAAUUUCUCUGUUCGACGAUCCUUUGAUUGUUUUAUCUUCGAUGAUACGUCGGAUAUUAACUACAAUGUCGCUUGAAUAUGUACGUUCAAGGAUUAUCGAUCAAAAUUUUUCGUUUUCGUAAUUAUUGACAAUCGAGUGAUUUUAUUCCUAAAAAAAAAAAUUCUAGAAAUUCGUCAACGGCUUUCGAAAAGAUUUUCAUUUCCGCAUAUUAAAGACAUUAGCAUGCAGAAGAUCGUUCGUCACAAGAACUGGACGAAGAUUCGUAAAACGACAGAAAAUGUCGAAUAAAGUUAAGUCAGGUGACGUGUUAAUGGAUUGCGCAAGCCGAGUCGCGGUUGCACGUCGAUACCGGACAAACUGCAUGCCUCUAGUGUUCUCGGUCACAUUUGCAAACGAUCACGGAAUAAUUCUUUUAACUUCUCUUCGUUAAUGGAGCGCAGUAUCUUCUCUGAAAUACUUCCGUUCGUGAUUUGCCUAUCAAGAAUAAUUCGAGAAGAACAAUUGGCAGUUCUUAGAUUUUAGAUGUUUGAAAAUUUGUAUAAUCGAGAGAUUUCAAUUAUUUGCAAGUUUUUAAUCUAUAGGAGUGAAUAGUUGAAAAUAUAUUUUCAUUACUACCUUUUUAACGUUAAUUUUUUGGAAAUUGUCAAGUAAGAAUAAUCGUUGAGUAUAACAUUCGCUUUAUACUAUCCAAAUAUACUUACCACAUUAUCCCAGAACUUAUAUAUGAAACCUCUACAAAUCACGUCAUUUAGGCUUCAUAAACUAAUUUGAUUCAAUUUACCAAUAUUAUUAAUCGCGUUUAAACGUCGGCGACGAAUCGCGUCAUUGCAACAUGUUAAUUGCUCUAAAAAAAUUAGCAUUACUCAGCAAUAAUUUACACGACCUCGAUCCACCAUCUUGAUAAGGAUUCGAAUAAGUUUUGUUUGCAAAGAAACUGGUCGUAAAGCUUUCCGAUCGCAAUGGUGCAUUUAUAUAAAACAUUCGGAGUCGGAAAUUUAUUGCUCGGUAUUUUUCAUCGUGUAAAAAAAAAAAAAGAAAAUAGAAAAGAAACACGGAGAGUAGAAAAAAGAUAUCGUUGCGACUAGUUAGCUAGUUCUCGUGUAAGUAGACUGUUUGCUUAUUCCUGAUUGUCGCAGGAAAUAUUUUUUCGGAAGAAACGCGACUUUACGAGGACGAGAAAGUUAAAGAGCUUCGGGAAAGGCGGUACUGGCCAUGUCAGUGUAUUAGUGGACCGGCUGGAGAACGAGUUUUAUAAGUGACAUUUAUUGGUACCGAAAAGUCAGACACCAUUGCCCUUCGAUGGAAUUCCGCACGAUCUCGUACGUAGUGCUCGUGAUUGAAAUUGCUAGUCGACGUAUGGGUGACGAGUAUCGCUUCUGAUUCUUCGUUCUUCUAAAAGAAGAAGAAAAAUAAAAAAUUUUAAUCCCGGAAUUAAUAGAAAAUCAGUAUCGAAACCACAAAGUUUACCAACAUUUGAGUUCUACGAUGCCGUGACUUUGAAAUUACACACAUAUGUACGUACAUACCUAUGUGUCUACGUUAUUUCAAUUUUGUUAAAUUUCUCUCUCUUUCAUUUUACCACUAUACUUUAGUACAUUGAAAGUGAACAACUUUUGUGUAACAAUUACUAAUUCUCAUAUUUCUAAUUAAAUUAUAAAACUCUAUUCCAUUUUGUCUAGCUCUUUUCCUUUACUACCAUAAGCAAUCACAAUUCUAAUUACGAAGGUUUGAAGCUCGUCGUUUGAAGAAACGGAGCUCUUUAAACAGCUACAUAUCAUAGCGUCCGCUUUAACAGAAACGUAUUCUCGAGAAACGAACUAAAAAGUCUGCGAACACGAUGACCCGCGGCGCGAAUCGUCGGCAUCGAGAGUGCAGCCUCGAAUGCCAAGGACCGAGGUCAAUGCUGCAACGCCGGUUUCAACGACCGACUUUUGCAAACCCGUUGCAAUAUAAAGCGACCGAGAAGCAAAUUAACGAUGUCGAGGCGCGGUCGAAUCUUGAUUUACACGUAACGUUGCGCUCAGCUGAUUGUGAAUGGUCGACGUUGUUGGCUUUUGAACGCUUCCCACGUAAAACAUUGUGUUCCAGAGUCUAGAGUAACAAGAAAACUAUUCGUUGAAUGAGUGCGAUAGCCGAUAAAACGUUGGAAAAUUGCUAAGUUACAUUUCAAAAUGGAAGCUGAUUGAAUCCUUGAAAACUAUAAAUACUAUAUCGUUUCAUUAGAUAAUUAAUACUCGUCCAUCUUCGACAUUUUCAUUUAAUUAACUUCCUCCACGCUGUUUUGUAUGCACAACAAACAAGAAAAUUACUUCCGAUCGUCCUUCUUGAAUUACUAGUAAUAUUCCCACGCAAA